UACGAAGGGGGCUAGCGUUGCUCGGAAUGACUGGGCGUAAAGGGCGCGUAGGCGGUUUGCACAGUCAGGUGUGAAAUUCCCGGGCUCAACCUGGGGGCUGCACUUGAUACGUAGGAACUGGAGUGGGGAAGAGGGUCGUGGAAUUCCCAGUGUAGAGGUGAAAUUCGUAGAUAUUGGGAAGAACACCGGUGGCGAAGGCGGCGACCUGGUCCUUGACUGACGCUGAGGCGCGAAGCGUGGGGAGCAAACAGG
rnacentral:rRNA from 1 species